UACGUAGGGUGCAAGCGUUGCCCGGAAUUAUUGGGCGUAAAGAGCUCGUAGGCGGUCUGUCGCGUCGGCUGUGAAAACCCGGGGCUCAACCCCGGGCCUGCAGUCGAUACGGGCAGACUAGAGUGCGGUAGGGGAGACUGGAAUUCCUGGUGUAGCGGUGAAAUGCGCAGAUAUCGGGAGGAACACCAGUGGCGAAGGCGGCUUCCUGGCCUGUUCUUGACGCUGAGGCGCGAAAGCUAGGGGGAGCAAACAGGG
rnacentral:rRNA from 1 species